rnacentral:lncRNA from 1 species
AUCUUGAAAACGGAAAAUAAAAACAGCAGACCUAUGAAGGUCGAAGGGGAAGAAAAGCUGUAUCGAUUGUUGAGAUCUGGCGACUUGUUUAAAUUUCAUCAGCCUCACUUCUAUGAACUCUCAGAGCUGAUUACCAACUCCUACCACUGUUAACCCUCAUCCAGGAACAAGCUUAUGUCUUUAACAUUCUGAGUGGGCUUCAGCAUCCUUGCAUAUGUUCAAUUCUUAAAAACCUGUUGAAAUAAAAGAUCAGGAGACAUAGGAAGGAUGCCAGAAGAGAGCGUGGCCUCACGUGUACCAGCUCUCUGCUCUCCUUUGCCUUGGGACGUUCCAUCCCUGGAAGUUUCCCUGCCCACAUCUUUGUAGAGAGUCCAUUCUCCAAGCUUCAGUGUGUCAUCUGUGAGGACCGUGACCCACCUGGUACAUCGCCUCAGGGCAUUCAUUUCAGGCUCCUUCUAAAUGGCCAAGUUUUCAAGAUUGUUUUGGCUCUAGCAAAACAAGUUGGAACAUUCACAUCAUCCACUGCACUGAUGAGGAAACUGAAACAGAAAAUCCAGAGUAAAUUCCACCAGGCCACACAGCAAGGUCUGAUAGAGCCAGGAGAGACUUUAUGAAAUCCAGACUCUCACACUAAUGCUCUAUCAGCUAGACCUCCAUGUGAGUCUCCCCAAUGUAGGUAGGAAGUGCUUUCCC